ensembl:snRNA U6 U6 spliceosomal RNA
UCGCUUUGGCAGUAGAUAUAGUAAGAUUGGAACGAUACUAGGAAGAUUAGCAUUGCCCCUGCAAAAAGAUAACACACAAAUUCAUGAAAAAAAAAAGAAAUGG